GGGGUUGUGGCUCAGUGGCAGAGCACUUGCCUAGCAUGCGUGAGGCACUGGGUUCGAUCCUCAGCACCA
rnacentral:tRNA from 1 species